rnacentral:rRNA from 1 species
CCUACGGGAGGCUGCAGUGAGGAAUAUUGGUCAAUGGACGAGAGUCUGAACCAGCCAAGUAGCGUGAAGGAUGACUGCCCUAUGGGUUGUAAACUUCUUUUAUAUGGGAAUAAAAUGUUCCACGUGUGGGAUUUUGUAUGUACCAUAUGAAUAAGGAUCGGCUAACUCCGUGCCAGCAGCCGCGGUAAUACGGAGGAUCCGAGCGUUAUCCGGAUUUAUUGGGUUUAAAGGGAGCGUAGGUGGAUUGUUAAGUCAGUUGUGAAAGUUUGCGGCUCAACCGUAAAAUUGCAGUUCAAACUGGCAGUCUUGAGUACAGUAGAGGUGGGCGGAAUUCGUGGUGUAGCGGUGAAAUGCUUAGAUAUCACGAAGAACUCCGAUUGCGAAGGCAGUUCACUGGACUGCAACUGACACUGAGGCUCGAAAGUGUGGGUAUCAAACAGGAUUAGAUACCCGUGUAGUC